AUGGUGAACUAUAACUGGGCAGGACAAACCCAGAGGAAACUCUGGUAUAGUUCCACAGAGAUCCUGAUGUUCAAAUUGACCAUCCAACCUGGGUAUAGAGGUGAAGAUUCCCUACUCUAU
rnacentral:ncRNA from 1 species